rnacentral:rRNA from 1 species
AACGAACGCUGGCGGCAUGCCUAACACAUGCAAGUCGAACGAAGUCUUCGGACUUAGUGGCGCACGGGUGCGUAACGCGUGGGAAUCUGCCCUUGGGUGCGGAAUAACUUCUCGAAAGGGAUGCUAAUACCGCAUAAUGUCGUAAGACCAAAGAUUUAUCGCCCAAGGAUGAGCCCGCGUAAGAUUAGCUAGUUGGUGGGGUAAAAGCCUACCAAGGCGACGAUCUUUAGCUGGUCUGAGAGGAUGAUCAGCCACACUGGGACUGAGACACGGCCCAGACUCCUACGGGAGGCAGCAGUGGGGAAUAUUGGACAAUGGGCGAAAGCCUGAUCCAGCAAUGCCGCGUGAGUGAUGAAGGCCCUAGGGUUGUAAAGCUCUUUUACCCGAGAUGAUAAUGACAGUAGUCGGGAGAAUAAGC